rnacentral:rRNA from 1 species
GAUGAACGCUAGCGGCAGGCCUAAUACAUGCAAGUCGAACGGUGUAGCAAUACACAGUGGCGCACGGGUGCGUAACACGUAUGCAACCUACCUUACAUUGGGGGAUAGCCUUUCGAAAGGGAGAUUAAUACCGCAUAAGACAGUAACUAGGCAUCUAGUAGCUGUUAAAGAUUUAUCGAUGUAAGCUGUGCAUGCGUCCAAUUAGUUAGUUGGCGAGGUAAUGGCUAACCAAGACGAUGAUUGGUAGGGGAACUGAGAGGUCAAUCCCCCACACGGGCACUGAGAUAAGGGCCAGACUCCUACGGGAGGCAGCAGUAAGGAAUAUUGGUCAAUGGGGGCAACCCUGAUCCAGCCAUGCCGCGUGAGUGAAGAAGGCCUUCGGGUUGUAAAGCUCUUUCGGCCGGGAAGAAAUCGCACAGGCUAAUACUCUGUGUGGAUGACGGUACCGGCAUAAGAAGCACCGGCUAACUACGUGCCAGCAGCCGCCGUAAAAC